GGAUGAACGCUAGCUACAGGCUUAACACAUGCAAGUCGAGGGGAAACGACAUCGAAAGCUUGCUUUUGAUGGGCGUCGACCGGCGCACGGGUGAGUAACGCGUAUCCAACCUGCCCAUCACUUGGGAAUAACCUUGCGAAAGUAAGACUAAUACCCAAUGACAUCCCACGAAGACAUCUGAAUGGGAUUAAAGAUUUAUCGGUGAUGGAUGGGGAUGCGUCUGAUUAGCUUGUUGGCGGGGUAACGGCCCACCAAGGCAACGAUCAGUAGGGGUUCUGAGAGGAAGGUCACCCACAUUGGAACUGAGACACGGUCCAAACUCCUACGGGGGGCAGCAGUGAGGAAUAUUGGGCAAUGGGCGAGAGCCUGAACCAGCCAAGUAGCGUGCAGGAUGACGGCCCUAUGGGUUGUAAACUGCUUUUAUAAGGGAAUAAAGUGGGUCUCGUGAGACUUUUUGCAUGUACCUUAUGAAUAAGAACCGGCUAAUUCCGUG
rnacentral:rRNA from 1 species